rnacentral:rRNA from 1 species
UACGUAGGUUGCGAGCGUUGUCCGGAUUUACUGGGCGUAAAGAGCGCGCAGGCGGCUGGUCAAGUCCGAUGUGAAAGCUCCCGGCUUAACUGGGAAAUUGCAUCGGAAACUGAUCGGCUGGAAGGUGGGAGAGGGUAGCGGAAUUCCCGGUGUAGUGGUGAAAUGCGUAGAUAUCGGGAGGAACACCAGUGGCGAAAGCGGCGUCCUGGGGUGAGGUUGACGCUCAGACACGAAAGCAUGGGGAGCGAACGGG